GGUAGCGUGCAGCGGUCUAAGGCGCUGGUUUAAGGCACCGUGUCUCUUCGAGGCGUGGGUUCGAAUCCCACCGCUGCCA